AUGAAUUUGUUGCUGGCUUCAUUCAUUUCCGAGUGUUUAAUGUUGAGAAAGCAGCCAUGGCCCACUGCGCUGGGGUUAAAGUCACCUGAUGCAACUCAGAACAUCACUGCAUUGGCGGAGGGGGAUAUUUGGCAGAAGGGAAUCCUCGUCAGUGUGGGGACUUCCCUGCCUUUGACUGGGAUGGCUACGGGACACACAAUGGCUGCAGCGCUUCUAAAGAGAUGACUGAAUCUGCUGUACUGCUGUUUUAUCGCUGAUGGAGGGCGUUGUAAAAAUAGGUAUACCAGAGGCAUUGCCUUGAGAAUGAAAAUCCAUCCCCUGUGCAUAUAUAUCAUCAAUGGAAUAAUAAUAAUAAUAAAACUAAACUGAGA